rnacentral:rRNA from 1 species
GAUGAACGCUGGCGGCGUGCCUAAUACAUGCAAGUCGAGCGAACGGACGAGAAGCUUGCUUUUCUGAUGUUAGCGGCGGACGGGUGAGUAACACGUGGAUAACCUACCUAUAAGACUGGGAUAACUUCGGGAAACCGGAGCUAAUACCGGAUAAUAUUUUGAACCGCAUGGUUCAAAAGUGAAAGACGGUCUUGCUGUCACUUAUAGAUGGAUCCGCGCUGCAUUAGCUAGUUGGUAAGGUAACGGCUUACCAAGGCAACGAUGCAUAGCCGACCUGAGAGGGUGAUCGGCCACACUGGAACUGAGACACGGUCCAGACUCCUACGGGAGGCAGCAGUAGGGAAUCUUCCGCAAUGGGCGAAAGCCUGACGGAGCAACGCCGCGUGAGUGAUGAAGGUCUUCGGAUCGUAAAACUCUGUUAUUAGGGAAGAACAUAUGUGUAAGUAACUGUGCACAUCUUGACGGUACCUAAUCAGAAAGCCACGGCUAACUACGUGCCAGCAGCCGCGGGUAUACGUAGGUGGCAAGCGUUAUCCGGAAUUAUUGGGCGUAAAGCGCGCGUAGCGGUUUUUUAGUCUGAUGUGAAAGCCCACGGCUCAACCGUGGAGGGUCAUUGGAAACUGGAAAACUUGAGUGCAGAAGAGGAAAGUGGAAUUCCAUGUGUAGCGGUGAAAUGCGCAGAGAUAUGGAGGAACACCAGUGGCGAAGGCGACUUUCUGGUCUGUAACUGACGCUGAUGUGCGAAAGCGUGGGGAUCAAACAGGAUUAGAUACCCUGGUAGUCCACGCCGUAAACGAUGAGUGCUAAGUGUUAGGGGGUUUCCGCCCCUUAGUGCUGCAGCUAAUGCAUUAAGCACUCCGCCUGGGGAGUACGACCGCAAGGUUGAAACUCAAAGGAAUUGACGGGGACCCGCACAAGCGGUGGAGCAUGUGGUUUAAUUCGAAGCAACGCGAAGAACCUUACCAAAUCUUGACAUCCUUUGACAACUCUAGAGAUAGAGCCUUCCCCUUCGGGGGACAAAGUGACAGGUGGUGCAUAGUUGUCGUCAGCUCGUGUCGUGAGAUGUUGGGUUAAGUCCCGCAACGAGCGCAACCCUUAAGCUUAGUUGCCAUCAUUAAGUUGGGCACUCUAAGUUGACUGCCGGUGACAAACCGGAGGAAGGUGGGGAUGACGUCAAAUCAUCAUGCCCCUUAUGAUUUGGGCUACACACGUGCUACAAUGGACAAUACAAAGGGCAGCGAAACCGCGAGGUCAAGCAAAUCCCAUAAAGUUGUUCUCAGUUCGGAUUGUAGUCUGCAACUCGACUACAUGAAGCUGGAAUCGCUAGUAAUCGUAGAUCAGCAUGCUACGGUGAAUACGUUCCCGGGUCU